UACGUAGGUGGCAAGCGUUGUUCGGAAUUAUUGGGCGUAAAGGGCGCGUAGGCGGUUUGCUAAGUCAGUUGUGAAAGCCCGGGGCUCAACCCCGGAGGGUCGGCUGAUACUGGUGGACUAGAGUACGGAAGAGGUAGCUGGAAUUCCCGGUGUAGCGGUGAAAUGCGCAGAUAUCGGGAGGAACACCAGUAGCGAAGGCGGCACUCUGGGCCGGUACUGACGCUGAGGAGCGAAAGCGUGGGGAGCAAACAGG
rnacentral:rRNA from 1 species